AUUCCAGCUCCAGUAGCGUAUAUUAAAGUUGUUGCAGUUAAAAAGCUCGUAGUUGGAUUUCUGACUUCAAACACCUGACCCUCCCUCGCUAGAGGUGUGUGUGCCGGAGUGUUUGUAUCAUCCUUUCAGUGAUCGGUUCUACCCUUAACCGGGUCGGAACUGUUAACUGGAUCUUUUACUUUGAAGAAAUUGGAGUGUUUAAAGCAGGCUUACGCCAGAACGUAUUAGCAUGGAAUAAUAAUUUAGGACUUUUGUUCUAUUUUGUUGGUUUCUAGGACGAAAGUAAUGAUUGAUAGGGAUAGUUGGGGGUGCUAGUAUUCGGCGGCCAGAGGUGAAAUUCUUUGAUCCGCUGAAGACUAACUUAUGCGAAAGCAUUCACCAAGGAUGUCUUCAUCA
rnacentral:rRNA from 1 species